rnacentral:rRNA from 1 species
AGUAGCGGCGAGCGAACAGGGAAGAGUCCAGCACCGAACCCCGCAGGCUGCCGCCUGUCGUGGCAUGUGGUGUUUGGGAGGGUCCACUACCCCGACGCCUCGCGCCGAGUCCAAGUCCAACUUGAAUGAGGCCACGGCCCGUAGAGGGUGCCAGGCCCGUAGCGGCCGGUGCGAGCGUCGGCGGGACCUCUCCUUCGAGUCGGGUUGCUUGAGAGUGCAGCUCCAAGUGGGUGGUAAACUCCAUCUGAGACUAAAUAUGACCACGAGACCGAUAGCGAACAAGUACCGUGAGGGAAAGUUGAAAAGAACUUUGAAGAGAGAGUUCAAAAGUACGUGAAACCGUUCUGGGGUAAACGUGAGAAGUCCGAAAGGUCGAACGGGCGAGAUUCACGCCCAUCCGGCCACUGGCCCCCGCCCUCGGCAGAUGGGGCCGGCCGCCCGCGCGGAGCAAUCCGCGGCGGGGUCGUGUCCGGUUGCCUUUCCACUCGCCGCGGGGCGGGGCCGUUCCAGUGUGCGGUGGGCCGCACUUCUCCCCUAGUAGGACGUCGCGACCCGCUGGGUGUCGGCCUACGGCCCGGGUGCGCAGCCUGUCCUCCCGUGGACCUCGGUUCGCGUCUGUUGGGCAGAGCCCCGGUGUCCCGGCUGGCUGCUCGGCGGUACAUCUCGAGGAGUCGAUUCGCCCAGUUUGGGCGCCCGGGCUCCCGGCAAGCGCGCGCGGUUCUUCCCGGAUGACGGACCUACCUGGCCCGGCCCCGGACCCGCGCCGCUGUUGGCUCGGGAUGCUCUCGGGCGGAAUAAUCGCUCCCGUCAGCGGCGCUUCAGCUUUGGACAAUUUCACGACCCGUCUUGAAACACGGACCAAGGAGUCUAACAUGUGCGCGAGUCAUUGGGCUGUACGAAGCCUAAAGGCGCAAUGAAAGUGAAGGUCUCGCCUUGCGCGGGCCGAGGGAGGAUGGGGCUUCCCCGCCCUUCACGGGGCGGCGGCCUCCGCACUCCCGGGGCGUCUCGUCCUCAUUGCGAGGUGAGGCGCACCUAGAGCGUACACGUU